rnacentral:sRNA from 1 species
CUGAAAAUCAGAAUCAA